UAUCUCUAGUCAAUAUCCAAUGUUUACUGUGUUGCUUUAGAGGUUGAUUGAUUUAACAGUCUAAGCUAUGCUGCAUUUGCACAUGUUGGAGGAGACCCUUGUUAAGUGCUAAACGAUUGUAUGCGUCGCCUGGAUUCUUCCCCCAACGGCUGGCGCAAGAAUUGUUUACUUCAUACAAAUGUGUUAUUCAUUAACUAGGACAAGGAGAGGUGUCAAAUGCUGAACUGACCAAAAGUAGUUAAUCUUUAACCAGACACUUUUUUUUUUUUUUUUAAUAUCCUUUAUCUACCCCAGGAACAAAAUAUUUGUUUGUUGUUAAUUGUAUGGUAGUUUGCACUGGAAUGUUGCUUGCUUGUGAAACUAUUCCACACCUUCUGUAAAGUGUGUGUCUGUGUUUGUGUUACCAUGGAAACAGACCCUUAAACUGGAAAAAAUAAAUCCUGAUAUUAGUUACAUGCAUACGUAUGAACAUGACUAAUAUGUUUUUCAUAUUAGACUCCUUCCUGCAUCAUCACCUCCAGUUUGUAGAGUACCUCUUAAUGUCGGCAGCUGCCAUAUUUAUCACUAAUUACAACAAGCCCUUUUUCAAUUCGAAAAAAAAGAAAAAAAAAGAAAAAAAAACGAGGUUCACACCAGUAACAGAAGAAUUUGAACAACGUUUUUAAAAGAGCAAGAAAAUGAAAGUGCAAGAAGAUAACAUCUACUGACAUAAACCCCACAACGUAGUAUUCGCUUUCAGUGGGAGCAGUGAGAGAAUUUUACCAGAUACCUGAAAAAAAAGAGUUCUCUCCAAAGCAAUGCUAGCAGAGUUGUGCCAACAUAAUGCAGCAUUUUCUAUAUCAGCAUGUCGCAGCUUAAACAAACUAAAGAAACUAUCUCAGCCACACAAAAACAGCUUAAGAAAGCUGGUCACUGAAAGGCUUUGUGAAAACUGAGGACAAGUGAACCAUAUAUGCCGGAUACUCUUCACAGUUUCUUCCCAUCCUCUGUUUUCAGUGUGUGGUUCCAGGAUACAAGCAAGUUCGUAAAAAAAAGUAUUAGCCUCCGUGACGUCUUCAACUGAGGUGAGUGAAAUGCCAAGAGUGGAGAGGAGAUUACAAUACCACAUCUUUUCCAUCUUUUUCAUCUUUUUCAGUGGUC